CCCCCCUUGAUGACGUCACUCAGGCGCCUGCAGCAAUGGAAGGUCCCGCGCCGGGCCGGGCAGGUGUGCGAUUUGGAACUGGAGGGAACCGCUCUGUCCGAGCCCGGCCGGGUACCCGGAGGGGAAGGACGGACUACGCUUCCCGACGCCCCGUGCGGCGGACGACCCCGGGCGAGUCCUCCCGCCGUGGCGCGGCCUUCGCGACAGCGGCCGCUCCUUCCUGCGGGACCGUCGUUCUUCCCGGCAGCUGGCCGCGCUUGCGGCGGUCGGUCGGUCGGUCUCUCUGCCAGGCCCUCCCUGCGGCCCGAAGCCCUGGCUGGGGCGCAGCCGGUGACCCCAGUCACGGACGGUAGCAGGCCGCUCCCAGAUCUCAAGUGUAUACCCCUUGAGAGGGAAAAAACAAAACUCCUCCCCCUGGCCGCAUUCCUGGGUAGAUUCGGGCCCUGAUCCUCGGCUUGGACCGAAGGUCUUCUCCUUAUCCCCCGGCAGCAGAAUUCUCUUCUUAACGAUCCCAGCUCGUUGCCGUAUCACUGCCUGGCUCAGAAACUUCCCGCGGCUUCCCAAUGUCCAAAUUCUUAGCAUUCGAUACGAGCAUUGUAUGUGCUACCUAGACACCCAGACUUCACCGGCUUUUUCCAAAAUGUUCAGUACGGACACUGCGACGGGAAACGGCCCUCCCCAGAGAGCAGUCUGGUUCCUCUACAAAUACCGCACCCCUGCCCGUUCUUACACAAUCCGUGGCUGCCACUUGCUGUGGAGCAAGGGACCAGGGCUCCGGACCUGACAGCGAGAUUUCCUGUCGUUGACACCUAAGGCGGUCCAGUACCUGACGGAUCCAUUUACCCCUGAGCGGAAAACAAGACCAGGGUUUACGGGGAAAGGAGAUGAGCAGCAGCGCAGCGGGAAGCAGAUGUACCUCGGAAGACCGUCGUGUGACCCAUUAGAGAAAGGGGAGAGCAGACCAUGUCUGCGUCCUGGUGACUUUCCAUCUCUGGCUCUGAUCCAGACAAACGUGUCUUAACACGCACCUGCUGUUGCUGGAACUCAGAACUCUCACUGCUGCCUUUCUGCCUUUGUCUUUCGGCCUGUUUCUUCCCCUUGCCUGGAACACCUUCCUGCCAGGUCUACUGGUUGUCAUCUACCAGCCACACCUGUCUCAUUGUUGUCAUGGAAAAAAGCCAGCAAACGUCUACACUACAGAAAGUGGCGAACAGUGAAUUUGGAACCACAUGCCUGCCUUUAAAUUGUCAAGUGAGUGGCCUAUUUGAGCCGGUGUUUUCUUAUAAAGGAUUACCUGUCAUUUAGGGGAAAAGCAACCAGGGCAGAUCCAAAUCCAUAGGAUCUAUGAAGCAGAGAGUACUUAGUAACACGUUAUCGAUGGUAUCCAUUUCGGAAAACGAAUACGUCUAGCUUACUUGUAGAAACCUAAUUUGUGGUCUCGGGUUUGGUUUUGUUUUUUUUUUUUAAUCAUUUUUUCAUACCAAAUUUACAAGAAAAACAUUGCAUUUUUCUGUCCGAGCCUCCUCAGGCCUGGAGGGAUGUCUAGAUUCUGGCUUCUGAUGUGGGGGCUCCCUUGUACAUGUGGAGCCCAGUCGGUUGUUUAGAGGAACUGACUCAAAGGCUCAGUUCUUGCCUCACGGCCUCCCGGAUACUCAGUAACAUCUCCAAACUAAAGCUUUAGAACGUAACAUAAUUUGGAGGUUAGUUACACUGAUGACUUAAUUUAUUAAUGUCGUCUUCCCCUGAAAUGGUUAAUAGAUUUGUUCUAGAAGCCAAGGAGAUAGAUAUGAACUCAAAACGGAAAGAUACUUGUUCUUUGCAAGUUCCUAUGUUUUGCUUUACGAAGAGCUAUUCCUUUAUCUGAUGCGCUUCUGCAUAAUAAAAAUAAACCACAUUAUGUCUUUUAAAAUCCCUGGCUACGUUUCAUGGAGUGGUUUCCAGCUCUGACAGUUUAUAAUUCAGACAGCAUCUGAAGAAGUUAAUUUCUGGACCUGUGAUGUCAUGCUAACAAAUGGCCACCAGAUGUCAGUCUUUCCUUGUGUUUUUAGACACAAAUGGGCUUUGGAACCAUAUUUACGGUUCUAUUUGUGUGGCAUCCUCAGUGGAAGGCACUUUUCAGGGAGCAUCUGCCCUCUCACAGUCCAUCACGCAUGGUCCUGAGCUCCCUUUGCUCUGGUGUCACUGUCCUGGGUUACGGCAGUGACUUGUCCCCACGGGCCACUACUCGGCCCUGGGCCCUCGCUUAGAGCCCAGCUCCCACCCUCGAAGUGAUGCAGAGUUGGGGGGAAACGCGGCCGCUUCCUGGAAGAUGGAGCUCGCUCAGAAAGCCGAAGAAUCCAUUUUUCAAGACAAGCAUCAUUGGGAGGAGAAUGCAGAACCCAUGUGAGUGUUAAUGAUGAAGCAUGACUUUAAAGGACUUUCACGGUUGUAUAAUCCUUUCCACGGGAGUUCAGGCUCACUCCCCUCGUGGGGUGUUCUGUGAACACCAGGCAGCAGUAAACCGCUUGUCCCGAGUCGCUUCUGGGGAUUUGCAGAGGGAGGUUGGGGUCUCGGGGGCAAGGGAGAGAGGCUUCCCUCAGGGAGGGCUGGUGGGCGGGGUGCGACCCACCCACCCCAAAGGAGAGGGAGGGAAGGAGGGAGGGGGCUGUGGGAUGGCCCACCCCAAGCCAGGCACGUGCCCUGGUGUCAUUCCAAGGGGACCCACUCCUGAGGCUGUGGGAGGUGGGGCGCGCGGGGAGUGAGCCGCGCUUUCACGGGCGGGGGACAAAAGGUGAGGGUUUUCUGCCCACUGGAUAUCGUGGGCCUGUUGGUGGAAGCCGCUGGGGACCCAGAGGGCGGCCCGAGGGAGGCAAGCUGCCUGGCAGGUGUUCCCGAUGCCACGGCCAAGGCAGAGUGGAAGCAGGCAGCCGGACGCCCAACGUGGCUCCUGGCCACCGUCAGAAGCACUGCCGCUGGGAAGGGUCCGCUUGGGCCCCCUCCUGGGUCCUGUACCAGCCGCAGACCACGGCAGGGCAGCGGCUCAACAGCGUCAGGUUUUCCGAGGCAUUCGAGAACUCCCCGGCCCCCCGGCCCCUGGUGUGCAACUGCCUUCUCCCGGUUGACUGUCAGAAGCUGGGGCCUGGCCCGGAAGACCCUCUGUGCUCCUCACUUGCCCCCCCAGGGGGCAGAGAGGAGCCCCAGGGCACUGAGGGGUAGGGAGCUCCCGCCUCCCAGCCCCACCCCUCCCCUGCUACCCGCCCUGCGGUACUGGGACCCUUGAGCUGGGCCUGCCGGGCUCCCGCUGCUGGGGACCCGCAGACUCUGCCCAGAGGCUGCUCCGCAGCAAUGGGAGGAGGGAGAAGGCCCUCGGCCUCCCUUUUCGUACUGGCGGAUUCCAGGCCCUGUCGGUGUCUCUGCCUCGCUUUGCCCUGGGCCACAUCUGAGUCCUCGGAGAGUCCCUUCCCAGCCCCACAGGGCCCCUCCUCCCACGUCUGAACCUGAGCUCCAGGGGACGUCCUCCAGGCGUCCCUUCUUGCAGGUUCUGUCCUUUGCCCGAGGUCGCCUGCAGCCUGCGGGGUGGCAGGUGCCUCUGGCUGCACCGAGGUCCCCGUCCUGAAAGGAGCGGACUCCCCCUCCCAACAGCCUGCUUGUCCACGUCGCACUCCGACCCCGAGCUGGGCAGCCUGUGAACCCAAGUCACCGCAGAACCAACCACGAGGGACCAUACCUUCUCCUCCGCCUGGAGGGCCCAGGCCCUGGCUGCAGCAGAGAAAAAGCCCGCCAGGCCUCCCCUAACCCUAACCCCUCCCCCUUCCCCACCCCGCCAGGCCUCCCCCUCCCCCAGCCUCCCUGGGGCAUCCCAGCACAGGCUGGAGCUCAGCCGGUGGGAGAAGUCAAGCCCAAGACAGGAGGUGAGCGGCCAGCAAGCUGUGCUGGGCUUCCUGUGGACGGAGACGCCUGCGAGGCCACGGGCCCAACACGGGGUCCAGGGUACCAGGGGCCCCAGACAGCCCGUGCUGUGGGGACCGGCGACAGAGAGCUUGGUCAGUGGAGUGGCUUCGCGGUGGCUCUGCCCAGGGUUGUUCUUGCCCACCUGCUGCACUUGUGCGGACCCUGCGGUCACCGCCCUCCCUCCUCUGCCCCCCGGGCCGUGCCUCGAAGGGGGCUCCAGGCACCUGGCUGCGCGGCCGGCCUGCACAGGACGCCCCUCUGGGCCGCCACUGAGGGGCGGUGCCCGGCGUCCCGGUGGCGGCUCCUCCCCUGGGAGUCUCCUUGGUGCUGCCUUGCAGGCCUAGUGGCUCAUCCCCUUGUCUGAUUUGGCUGUCCUCCCCGCUCGGCCCCCUCGCCUCCCCACACGGCCGAUCACCUGCGGCCCUGCUGGUGCCACGUCCCCGCCGUCCAGCUCCCCUCCACGGCCGCCACUACCAUCCGGGGACCGGCAGCCCCUGGACGGCCAGGGAGCCCCCCACAGCCAGCUCCCGCCCUUCGCCACCAGCCGAGAUCGGUGUCCAGCUGUCCAUGAGGACGACACCGCCGACAGGAGAGAGGCGGACAGGCUCUGGAUCGAUGCACCGUCUCCCUCUCCGCCAGAAACAGGAUUUGGACUCCCCUCCACCGUCGCCAAGGCUCCCCGGGCUCCGGUCCGGGCCACGCUUCGUGCCACGUGACCCCACAGUCCUCCGGAUCUGGCCGGCCCUCUGCCUCACCCGGUCUCAGCCCAGAUGUUACCUGCUCAGACCUUCCAGGCCCCUGUGCCCCCCCCCCCCACCCCGCCACACACGGCUGCUGCGUUUUCCUUCCCCCCAGUAGCCCCGUUCUCCCAGGAGGAAGGUGAAUGUGAGAUGUGAAGGGGCCUCGCUGUGUCCACGCCGGGCCUCGUCCGCUGUCCUCCCUGGACUGGGGGCGGAGGGGCAGCCGCCUCCCCAGCCCCUCUCCGCCUCCCCCAGCUCUUCUCCGUCUUACGUGCUUCCUGCAAAUGUACCUUAACAGGGGCCUCUUCCCUGCUCACCUCCGGGUGCCCUGAGACCAGACCCAGAGACCACGCUUCGUCCACCUUCUGUCUUCCCUUCCCCGGCACUCGUUCAUCACGCGGCAAACGUCGCCGGAUGACCGCGUGCGCCAGGCACACGGCGCCUUGGGGAGGGGAGGCCGGACACGGCCCUGCCCUCGGGCCGCUCACUCCCUGGCUUCCUGCGCAGCCCCUUUGUCUGCCUGGACCCUCCUCAGCGACUCGCUCCUUCCAGGCGCCCGCACCGCAGGCCCAGCCAGCUUCCAGCACCUUCCAGCGCCAAGACCUGCUACGCAAUUUGCGUGGCCCAGUGCAAGAUGAAAACGCCAGGCCCUGUGUUCAAACAUACUGAGGCUUCGAAGGCACCGACAGCAAAGCGCCCUUUGUGAUUCCAGUUACACAGGAGCUCUCCUGCCUGCCCACGCUGGAUGUCUGUCCUCUCUCUUGGGGCCAUGGACAUAAGACCCGAGGGAGCCCUGGGACACCUGCCGAGUGACCCCAAGAGGAGCCUGAGAAUGGAAUGUUCCUAAGAGGGAACGUUGGGGGAAAGGCGGCUUUGGGAGCAGCUGACCUCACAGGAUUUUUAGGCAGAUGGAGUGACCACGUGUGACCUGGGGGACAAUGGACUCGAUAUCAAGGGGGUCAGACCUAGAGGGUGGGGGAUUCUGGGCAAACACUUAGCAGGACUCUUGAGGACAAUGAAGAGAUGAGCACGGAAGCCCAGAAGGCGGGGCCUGGCCGAGCAGAGGGUCAGAGCCUGGCCAACGCUGGGUCAGGAGAGACUGUCAUGAUGGGAGGCAGCUACUGUCACGGGGCUCUGGUCCCCACCACAGCACACCUGCCACCAGGCCUCCUCCGGGAUGCCUCCUUGAGGAAGGCUCUCACUCCCAGAGAAAACGGACCUGUGCCAGAGUGAGAGUCGAGGCCUGGUGAAGGGGGCUCCACUCCGAGGAGGUCCCCCAGGGCGUUUCUACAUCAGACACCUGGUAAAGAAUCUUCCAGCCUUACCACCUCGGGGCUGAGAGGGUGGGUCCCUGCAUUGGGGUGACAGGAGCAAGGCAGGCGUCACAGGGAUCCCUGCUCACCGAUGCCCUCGCUAAGGCUGUCCGCUGCCUUGGUACCUGCCUGCUGGUUUAGAACUGAUCCCCUGGUCCUUCUAGGUAAGUCUGAAGGAGGGGGGUCUCUAAGGGGCGCUGUCCAGGGAAGGCUGCGCUCCUUCAAGGACGGACUCCCUCGUGGGAGUCCCAGCUGCUGAGUCGCCCAGAUCCCAGGGCAGCUGUCGCCUGCCAGCUGCACUGCCCACCCUCUCCCCCUGCCGCGGCCCUGGAGGUCCCUCCCCGGGGGUCUGGUGCCACCUCCCUACGUCCAGCACAGAGGCUAAGCCCUCUGCUGACCUCUGGACGUGGGCCUCACAGGGUGCCAGGCGUUCUGUCGUAGGGUUCCUCGGAGACCGCUCUGAUUUUCCAUCCCUCUCCGCGUGGGGGGCCCUCGUGCCGUCCCCUCCACCCGCGUCCACCGUGCGCCCUCCCAGCCCCGUGGGUUCAGGUCCCACGGCCUCCGCCCAUGCGCCCACAUCCUCAUGGCCCCGAGCACCUGCUCUGGAACUGCUCUGUUCCUGCACUGCCUGACGUUUCCUGGGCUCCCCUCUCUUAGCACCCCUACCUUGCUUACCAUCAUCCACGGGACUGCCUGAGGUCUGGUGAGCCCUAUUCAAGGUCUGGCACGACCUAGCCCCCUGGUGUCUUCAGUCUCACGCGGGCAAGUAUUGUCACAGAUUUGUGUGCUUGGUGUAGGGGGUUUCCACUGGGCUCUGCUAGGGGGCCUGAGGCUGGGGGCUACUCCGAGCGGGUCUCCUGGGUCUCCGGCCGGGGCGAUCCUAUGCCCUGUGCAACGUCCCCCAUGUCUCACGCCAGCCUCCAGGAACGCCUGGCCCAGUCCCGUGGUCGUCGUAGCUGUCUCCGGACUUGCCCCACGACCUGGGGCGGGGGUGGGGGUUGGGGGGGGGGAAGUCACAGAAGCUCCCUGGUGGGGAACUGCCACUCUACAUCUAAGCAGUGGCUUUUGAGAUGUUCUCGGUGGCUGGAAGAGGGCCAUUGGAGUCAAGGGAAAGGCUUUUUUU